UAACGCGUGGGAAUCUGCCCUGGAGUGGGGGAUAACCGAGGGAAACCUCGGCUAAUACCGCAUACGUCCUGAGGGAGAAAGAUUUAUCGCUCUAGGAGGGGCCCGCGUCGGAUUAGCUAGUUGGUGGGGUAACGGCCUACCAAGGCGAUGAUCCGUAGGUGGUCUGAGAGGACGAUCAGCCACACUGGGACUGAGACACGGCCCAGACUCCUACGGGAGGCAGCAGUGGGGAAUAUUGGACAAUGGGCGCAAGCCUGAUCCAGCAAUGCCGCGUGAGUGAUGAAGGCCUUAGGGUUGU
rnacentral:rRNA from 1 species